UACAGAGGGUGCGAGCGUUAAUCGGAAUUACUGGGCGUAAAGCGUGCGUAGACGGCUAUUUAAGUCGGGUGUGAAAGCCCCGGGCUCAACCUGGGAAUUGCAUUCGAGACUGAGUAGCUAGGGUGCGGUAGAGGGAAGCGGAAUUUCCGGUGUAGCGGUGAAAUGCGUAGAUAUCGGAAGGAACACCGGUGGCGAAGGCGGUUCUCUGGGCCUUACCUGACGCUGAGGAGCGAAAGCGUGGGGAGCGAACAGG
rnacentral:rRNA from 1 species